rnacentral:lncRNA from 1 species
GUGAGAGUUGAACUAUUUAUCUGGAACCUUGUAUUGUUUUAAGACCAUAUCUUAGAAUCUGUGGAUAUGUCUAGGGGAUAAGCUGUGCAGAUGUGGCUGAUAUCUGUGUGAAAGCAUUGCAUGAUUCAACUGCAAGAAAUAAAAGCUUUGAUGUGAGUACUUCUUCAUUGGAUUUACUCGUCUGUGACAAAAUGGAGCUAAUUUCUCCUCGUUUCUGACCAGGUAUGUUACGAAUACGUUGCCGAACCUGGGAAGGAGCUUUACGAGCUGGUAAGACUACACUUCGUUUGCCUUUUUAUAUUCUUAUUGUAUCUUUUUGGUUGAGUGGUUCUAACUUAUAAAGGCACAAAUUCUCUUCUUUCUAUAGGUUGCACAUUUACCAGACAAAGCAAAUAACUACUUAACUCCGGCUCUCUCUGUUCUUGAGAAGAACACUUGAUAAAAUUCUGCUGUUAAAAGUAUAUAUUUUUUCUUAUGUUUCUUUGUUCUUCAAAAGAAGGUAUACGUUGUCAAAUUGGUGAAGCAAUUUGUCAAGAACUUUGAGAAAUCUUUCAUUGUGCAAAUUGCCUGAGCAAUGAGUACAUUCUCUGCAGAGUUAUAUUUACGUAUAUAUAUAAAUCAGCUUUGUAUAUUUUUGGAUAUGAAACUGAAAAUAUGAAAUUCCUUCAUUGCACUGGUUGAGAAGUGUUUCUUACAUUUGAAUGUGAAGAAUGGUGCUCUUUAUGACUGUAAUGAUGAGAAUUCUCUGUGAAAUUUAUGCGUUGGAUAUCCAAGACGACCCU